GCGUAACGCGUACACAACGUACCCAAGGGAGGAGGAAAGCGGCGGGGAAACUGCCGGUAAUACUCCAUGGUGUUGAAGGAUGGCAUCAUUUUUCAACUAAAGUACCAGCGCCCUUGGAUCGGUGUGCGUUCGAUUAGCUAGUUGGCGGGGUAACGGCCCACCAAGGCUCCGAUCGAUAGGGGGUGUGAGAGCAUGGCCCCCCACACGGGGUACUGAGACACGGACCCGACUCCUACGGGAGGCAGCAGUAAGGAAUAUUGGACAAUGGGCGCAAGCCUGAUCCAGCCAUGCCGCGUGAAGGACGAAGGCGCUCAGCGUUGUAAACUUCUUUUGGAUGGGAACAAUAAUCGAGACUUGUCUUGACUUGAGGGUACCAUCAGAAUAAGCACCGGCUAACUCCGUGCCAGCAGCCGCGGUAAUACGGAGGGUGCAAGCGUUAUCCGGAAUCACUGGGUUUAAAGGGUGCGUAGGCGGUCUAAUAAGUCAGUCGUGAAAUCGCUGGGCUCGAACCCAUGCAAUUGCG
rnacentral:rRNA from 1 species